CUGAGCGCGUUUGUUUGUCCUUGGCUGUGUGCCGUGAGGGGGCCGUGAGUUGGGUGGGGUGAAAUGGAACAGCACCUCCAUCGGGCAGGUGGCAAGCCGCGGCAAGAUCAAAGCGAACGACUGCAGACGGAGUCACGGGCGCCGACUUCGGCCGGUGUAGGGGAUUGGCGCCCUCUCGGGUCCCAGCUCCGGUAACAGGCGGACAGCGUAAGCCGUUCCUCUCAGUGCGUAGCGACUCUGCCGAUGGCAGCAGUGCUGCUGCUGUGUGCGGCAUUGGGUUGCGCCGGCCUGGAGAAGAGAGAUCCGCGCUUCUUCAAGCUAAUGUUCUAUGAGAAUACUGCUGGCUUGUCGUGUCCUGCACAGCUGAAUGGCUGCGCCCUGG